CUAAAAAAAAUACACAUUUUAAAACUAUUUGUGCAUUUGGAUGUGCAUAGUGCUCUUUUAAGGUUUUGGAGUUUGCGGUGUUCUCCAAAAUUACUACUGCACAAUUGCCCUACCAACUAAAUGUAUCAUUAUAUUAUAGUAGAUGGCACCAACUAUGUGAAAAACAAUAUAAGAUUUGAAGUUGUUCUGGAGCAGAUAACAUAGGAAAAAUCACUAGGGUGUUCAUUGCUACGAGGAGUUUGCGCUACCAAAGUUCAAAGUGCUCAUAAUCUUGUUGUAUGAGUAUCAUUUCUCACUUCUCAAAAGCUAGAAAAUGUUGUAGGUCACUAGAAAAAAUGUUGCAUAGUUAGACAAUGCUUUUCGAUGGCUCUUUAAAACAGGGUUAGUUGUUUUUUAGGUCCUAAUUUAGACAAUGCUCUUCGAUGACUCUUUAAAAGAGAGUUAUUAGUUGUCUUUUAGGUCCUAAUUUAUACAUAGUGAUGAUAAAAUGUUGAUAUUGUGGUGUGAAAAUAGCUAAAAUUACCUUUU